CCGAGUUAAUGAUACAUCGCCGCGGUGCUAAUUGAGUGUAGUACAAUGUCGUUCUGUAAUAAUUUCUUCAUUAAACUCAUUAAGGUACACGUCUUUAGAUUUUUAUUACCGCUUCCUGUCCUAGAGUUAAAAGGAAAUUUCAGGUAACAUUUCUUUUUUAAUAUUUCGUCUUCUUAAAAUCUCCGCAGACUAGUUUAGAAAUGCGUCCUUAGAUAUUUUAACCUUUUGACCGCUUCCUGUCCAAAGUUCUUAAAAAUAUAUAUUCCUUGGGUUUAAUUUCUGUAACUUGCAAUUUUUCUCAUUACUCGUUUCUUUGUCAGAUUCAUUUAGUGAACAAAAAUACUGAAUGCUCCGAUUUAUGUACCUUUCCUUUACAAUUUGCUGAUAAAACCGUUCGUCUCGGUACUAAUUUCGUGUAUUACUAUGAUGUUACCAAGUUACUACGUCAGCGUCAAGUCGUAAGCACGGUUUCAGUUAAUGUUAAAUAAUAAAGCCUUGAUACUGUUCUUAUGAGCCUUACCAGUUCGUCUCGUUACGGUUUCCACGCUAGGCUCAUUUAGCAAACAACUAGAACAAGAGAAGAUGGCGCCACUAUAAACACUUGCCUGCGCCAUGACGGGCUGGAGCCGACUACCAUCCAGACCCCUCAAGCAAGUUUGCCGGUGCUAUAGGCGUAGACGUUAAAAAAAAAAAAAAAAUAAAUAAAUAAAUAAAAUACACGCACACGACUUCAUAUGAUUUCUUAUUUCUGUUUAUUUUACGCUUCCUUUAUGAUAUAUAUUUUUCUCCUUUUCCACGUCAGACUCAUUUUUAGAACAACCAUAUACGUACGAAGCUUCAAUCUGGGUCAUUUCCGGUCGUUUUGAGGAUUUUCUUGCAUCCAUUUCUCCACUUCCGUCGCAGAAUCACAACAUUGCACCACUCCGUAAUUUUCCUUUUCCCUUCUCCGCCAUGACGCACUAAGGACUAAGCGGAUCAAUCAGAAGUCUCGGGUAUUUGCUUAUUAGUCAAAUCGUAAAAGAAAAUAUCAGACCUUCAUCUAUAUUGAGUUUUAAAAAAAGGGUUUAAUUCCAAUCCAUUUACUUUUUGUUAUGACAGGAUGUAUUUAGAGUUCAGUUUAUCAAGUUAUAUUCGUACCUAUUUGUUUUCUUUUUAAAAUGUCGUUGGGUGUAUUUUCAUUGGUAGUUAUUUUUAUUCUUUUAAAAUGUCGUAUUCUUUUAAAAUUUCGUGUUAUUCGUGUUCUUUUAAAAUGUCGUUGAUUUGUUAGCAUUAUCAGUUUUCUUUUUAAAUAUCGUGGGUCUGCAUUUCUAUUUUUAGUACUAUGUGUUUUUAGGAAUGAUUGCACUCUUUCUGUCGCAUCCUGGUCGUAGCGUGAUUCACUCUGACGCACGACGAGACUCAUUCAUGUGUCACUCUCCUGUCUCCUCGUUUCCGGUCUUGAUUAUUUUUUCCUUUUUUUUUUUGUUCUACUUUUCACUGUCCUGUUCGUAUUUUCCUGUUGUAUUAUUUUAUUCAAUCACUACAACGUUUCUAGUUUCCUGUUUCCAUUCUAAUCAUUUACCGUAACGUUUUUUCCUUUGGUUAGACAUUUUUUUUUUUACAGCAAGGGCGUAAAAAAAAGAAAACUAAUGAAAAAAAAAAGCUCGCUACUUACUGCUACUAUAGUUAUUUGUUUGUUUAUUCAUUUGUUUUGACCUUCGUGAGUAGCAAGUGACAUAUGUUUGUGCGGGGUAUUAUUAUUAUUGUUAUUGUUAUUAUUACUAUUCAUUAUCAUUAUUAUUAUUAUUUUUUUUUUAUGUUCAUCCGUCAUCAGUAUCUUUUACGCUGAGUACGGUACACUCGCAUCGUUUUCUUUACAUUUCAAUCUCACGAGGUAGCAGUGUUUCCAUUUCGCUUUUCAUAAUAUUUAAUUCACGGCACAAGUUUUAAGAUACACGUCCGAAAUAAAAAAAAAAGUUAAAUUUGCAAGAGUAAAGUGCACGGAAAUUACACGCUCUCCGUACUUUUUGUUAUAUUUGCGAAGUAAUACAAAAUUUAACGUAAAAACACGUUCUUCAGCUUCAUAAGAGUUCUUGGUUCAGUCUUUUUCUUACCGAAGUGUUUGUUAUUUUCUCUUUCGAUUUCCUCUUUUUUUUUUCUUUUCUUCAGCGCGCACUAUGCUUGUUGUUUCUCUCUCUCUCUCUCUCUCUCUCUUGGUAAAUUUCGUUUCUCCAUCUUUACCUUCCUUCUUUUUCCUCUCCUUUCUCUUUCCAUUCUCCUCACUCCUCUCCUCCUCCUCCUCCCUACCUUUCCUGCCCACCUGUUUACCUCCCUUCCCUUCCUCUCUCCUCCCUUCCCCUUCCUUCCCCUACCCUCACCUACAAUCUGCCUCCCUUCCUCAGCUCUCUCUCUUUCCUCCCUUCCCCUACCUAUCCUUUGCCUCCUUUUCCUUCUCCUUCCUUCUCCACCCCUACCCUCCCUUCUGCCUCCUCUUCUUUCCCUUCCUUCCUCUCCCCAUCCCCUCCCUUCUGCCUUCUUUCCUUUCCCUUCCCAUCUUUCCCUCUCCUUCCCUUCCUCUCCCCAUCUCUAUCUCCUUCCCUUCCCCUUCCCUCACCUACCCAUUGCGUCACUUCCCCUCCCCAGCUCCCCCUCUCCCUUCCCUUCCCCUUUUCAGCCACGCGCAGUUCAAAGCCCCUUCUCAUCCCCUCCCUCCCCCUUCCCCCACUCUUGCUCCCCCUUCAUUCAGUGUAGGUAAAGCUGAGAAAAACCUGAGAAAAUGGAGGAAAUAAAGCACAGGGAGGGGGGAAGAAAGGGAGGGAAAGAGGGAGGGAGGAAAAAGGCACGAGUCGAGAUUCGGUGCUGGGUCCAUAAAAGGCAAGACCAGCGAAGGGAACAUAAAAAAAAAAGAUAGCGAAUAGAAAUAAAAACAGAAAAAUACUACAUCAACAACAAGCGAGAAAAAUACACAGCGAACGUAAAUAUAGGUGAACGAAUGUGUCGGUAAAUAAAUACUUAAGGAAUAAUGCUACAUACUCGUUGGUUUUGCUCUCUCUCUCUCUCUCUCUCUCUCUCUCUCUCUCUCUCUCUCUCUCUCUCUCUCUCUCUCUCUCUCUCUCAAAACAACAUAAAACAAGUCUAUUAUUAAUUUUAACGCAUCAUUUUUUCUCAUUACAGGAUUUUUUCAAUAUUAUUUUUCCUUUUUGAUCAUAAUUAUAUCCUCGACUAAUAUCCAUCACUAACAGUAUGAUGUAAAAACCCAAUAUUGUGCGUCUUUUUGUUGGCCUAUUAUAAAUAUUUCGUCAUCAUGAGUUAAAUUUUCUGUCAUGGCUAAAAAAAUGCUUAUUAAAUUUGAGAGAGAGAGAGAGAGAGAGAGAGAGAGAGAGAGAGAGAGAGA